rnacentral:rRNA from 1 species
CUACGGGAGGCAGCAGUGGGGAAUCUUAGACAAUGGGCGCAAGCCUGAUCUAGCCAUGCCGCGUGAGUGAUGAAGGCCCUAGGGUCGUAAAGCUCUUUCGCCAGGGAUGAUAAUGACAGUACCUGGUAAAGAAACCCCGGCUAACUCCGUGCCAGCAGCCGCGGUAAUACGGAGGGGGUUAGCGUUGUUCGGAAUUACUGGGCGUAAAGCGCGCGUAGGCGGACCAGAAAGUUGGGGGUGAAAUCCCGGGGCUCAACCCCGGAACGGCCUCCAAAACUCCUGGUCUUGAGUUCGAGAGAGGUGAGUGGAAUUCCGAGUGUAGAGGUGAAAUUCGUAGAUAUUCGGAGGAACACCAGUGGCGAAGGCGGCUCACUGGCUCGAUACUGACGCUGAGGUGCGAAAGUGUGGGGAGCAAACAGGAUUAGAUACCCUGGUAGUCCACACCGUAAACGAUGAAUGCCAGUCGUCGGGUAGCAUGCUGCUCGGUGACACACCUAACGGAUUAAGCAUUCCGCCUGGGGAGUACGGUCGCAAGAUUAAAACUCAAAGGAAUUGACGGA